UUUUUCCCCUCAGAUUUCUGGCGAUAAAGGGAUAUAUUUAUAGCUUCAAGACCUGUUUGCCAAAGCAGUUGUUGGCUGACAUCACUGUCCAGUUAGCACCAUGAAGCUUCUCGCUGUCAUUAUGGCUGCCCUCUGUGUCACUGUCAUUAGUUCGGACCAGGUGACCACCCAGGGCUGCAUCUUUCGGACGCAGUUUGUUCCGGUUGGCGGCGUAAUUGCGACCGACUGUAACGACUGCAUCUGUGUGGGGCCUAACAAUCUGACGUGCACCAUGCUGGACUGCAAGAUCGUCUUACAUGGAUAGGACAAAAAACUCCUGGAAUAAUCUAAGACUUGCAUCUACAACUGACAGCUGCUGCGAUUCUCCAGCAAAUAUUUCUAAAGAUUACUUGCUGUCGAAAGCAGAUAAGGAAGACUACAAGCACAUUGUCUCAAUCACGAAAAAACCAAAACGCUUUUGAUAAGAUUGCAUGAUCCUGACAUCACGUUCAGUCGUGUACAUUUAUUGUUUUUAAAAUAAAAAAGCCUCCAAGUAUUCAUGAAAAAACAAUUAAAUGCAAUCGAAUUACUA